UCCUGGUUAGCUCAAUUGGUAGCGCGCUCCACCGGAAAUGGUGAGGUCCCUGGUUCGAUUCCAGGACCGGGCG
rnacentral:tRNA from 2 species